GACGAACGCUGGCGGCGUGCCUAAUACAUGCAAGUUGAGCGCUGAAGGUUGGUACUUGUACCAACUGGAUGAGCAGCGAACGGGUGAGUAACGCGUGGGGAAUCUGCCUUUGAGCGGGGGACAACAUUUGGAAACGAAUGCUAAUACCGCAUAAAAACUUUAAACACAAGUUUUAAGUUUGAAAGAUGCAAUUGCAUCACUCAAAGAUGAUCCCGCGUUGUAUUAGCUAGUUGGUGAGGUAAAGGCUCACCAAGGCGAUGAUACAUAGCCGACCUGAGAGGGUGAUCGGCCACAUUGAGACUGAGACACGGCCCAAACUCCUACGGGAGGCAGCAGUAGGGAAUCUUCGGCAAUGGACGAAAGUCUGACCGAGCAACGCCGCGUGAGUGAAGAAGGUUUUCGGAUCGUAAAACUCUGUUGGUAGAGAAGAACGUUGGUGAGAGUGGAAAGCUCAUCAAGUGACGGUAACUACCCAGAAAGGGACGGCUAACUACGUG
rnacentral:rRNA from 1 species